UAACUUUUUAAUCUUACAGUGUUUUAAAACUUUUAGAGGCAGUGGUGUGUUGUGUUUACUGUACAGGACUCUCACACCACCUCAAAACGGACUGCCAAGUCUGAUUACUGGUUACAUAAUUGGCCACCGUAGCGUGACGGACUGUGUUUCUCUAAAAGUUGAAUCCAUCUCAAGUUUUUUCGCCCCCCCACUGCGCUCCACCACCUCAGCCUAAACGCACUACCCCCCUUCAAAAGAAGCUAAAUCACUUCUUAUUGAAAUAUUGGAGUUUUUUUGAAAAAUCACUGUUUUAGUUUUAUGCUUUUUUCAGCCGAUUCCUAAGUUUAUAAUGGGUGUUUUGACAGCUUUUUGGGGUGGUAACUUUUUAUUAAGUGUCACAACUUUAGUUUUUCUAUUCAGUACUUCUACAGCAUCCUCCCCUGUCUUCAGAAGAGCUCAUAUGCUUCUGAUGCCGUGUAGUUCCUCUUACAAAGUCAGAUGAAGCGCGAUGAGCCUACAUCAUUUACAGCAGUUAUGUCAUCUGUCAGCUUUUUGGCUCUGACUAUAGUUGGGAGAACUAACUAUAUUUAGCGUUCCAAUCAACUUUGCAGAGAAAUGAAUUAGGAAGAUGUUGCAGUGGUGGUACUGGGCGUUUGCACACGUGAUAGAAGAAUGUUAACACAGGAAAGAAGGGUACUUUUGCUGCUUAUCUGUUGUUAGUUUUUUUCUCCUAUUUCUUUAAUCACGGUUUUAUUUUUUUAUACUUUCUCUUGCAUGUUCGAAAUAAAGAUUUCAAUUCAACUAUGUCCCACCUAUAAUUUUUCUCACCAGUCCACCAGGGGGAGGCAGAGCCUGUAACACUUUUAAAGCAUCUUCAAACACAGGCAUUGAUGCUGCUGGACACAGACACACACUCUUAAGGCAUAGACAAAUUAUUAAAUUAAAGUAAUACUAUUACUAUUUUUAUAUUCACUGGUAUAGGGUAUUACCGCACAACCCUACUCCACAAACAGUUACACACAGCUGAUGCUUAUUGUCUGAUUAGACCUUUGUCUGUUUGAUCUCUCUCCCUCUUUCACUGCUACUGCUACACAUGCUGAGGCUGCUACAACUACUAAGUGCAGGUUUUUUUGCAGUGCAGUGUAUUUGAGUUUUGAGAUUUUCUAAGCAAAUUAUUUCACAGUUUUUUCAACAAUAUUUCCCAGUUUUUUUAUAUUAAUGCGUUUUCACCAAACACUUUUAUUUCAGCUCUCAGCAUUCACAUGCUUUUUCUGCAGGAAAUGUAUUUUCUAGUUACUAGCUUUUACUAGAUUGUGAUAAAGAUGCUUUGAAUACGCUAUUAUCAGUGGAAGCUAACUGCGGCAGACAUGGAGGCCCUCUUCAGACCAGAACUAAGUCCAGCAGGAAGCAACAGAAGGCAGGAGGAAGGGAAAACGCUGAUUAUCUCUUUGACACUGAAGAAACACAGACUACAGUAUCUCUGGAAGAUGUUUGCCACAGGGCUGUCAUCAAUGCCACCUGCAGGGAUAACACCAGCACCAAGCAUUGAAUUCCUUAACAAUUCACCGUUCCCGAUGGCAAAUACAUGUGCCAAUAAGCUGAGGUUACCACAUCUGGACUCAUACUGUCUACUCAAAACAAACAUGGGUUUUGGUGUCCAUAAUUCCCCAGGAUUUGGGUGCAUGUAAAUGAAUGUGAUAUUGUAACUUAGAGGGUAUCUUCAGUUUUUUCAACCUGGACCAUGUUUUUGUUUCUAAGUGACUGAUGGUAACAACAAUCUUUGUAAAUGGUCUAGUGUUAAGCCAGACUGGUGCAGUCAGCAGUGGUAAAACAGGCUCCAAUGUAAUAUUAAUUAACGUUUUUGUGGAAGUAAAUUGAAGGAGCGCAAAAGUGCUUGUUUUACCCACCACAGACAUGAUCAGUGUCUUACAGAAAGCAUUUUUUGUGGACUUAAAUUGCUCAAUAACUUAAAAUGUAGCUUUAGCUUGUUUCGUCACAGCCUACUGCAACAGUCUUGCUUAUUAGGCCUACUUGACAAAUUUCAAAAAUUAUUGUUCCCACCAGUCACUUAAACACAAAAACAUAGGAAAAUAAGAUCCAGGCUGAAAAUUACACAAUCAUUAAAAACAAAAUCAGUGUUAUUUGCAAAGGAUGUUGUAGAGUGUUCCUACAUAACCUAGUAGCCUACACUGAAAAUAAAAUGGCUUAAGAGCCUUGCCUUAACACAUUGCAUUUGUUGUACAUUUUCCCUGGGCAGAAGCAACAGUGUUUGUAGAAUGCAUUGCCUUUCGUGCCCAUGCCCAUUGGCUGUUGUCCUUUGAGGUUCCAUUUAACAAAGAAACCCACUUUUAUAGUCUAGCACUGUAUAAAUCUGAGCUAGUAUUGUGCUUAAACAGAACCAGAGUAAAACAAUAAAAAAAAUCUAUGUAAUAAAAUGUAAAAACAAAAACAAAAAA